AGUGAACGCUGGCGGUAGGCCUAACACAUGCAAGUCGAACGGCAGCACAGUAAGAGCUUGCUCUUACGGGUGGCGAGUGGCGGACGGGUGAGGAAUACAUCGGAAUCUACUUUUUCGUGGGGGAUAACGUAGGGAAACUUACGCUAAUACCGCAUACGACCUACGGGUGAAAGCAGGGGAUCUUCGGACCUUGCGCGAUUGAAUGAGCCGAUGUCGGAUUAGCUAGUUGGCGGGGUAAAGGCCCACCAAGGCGACGAUCCGUAGCUGGGCUGAGAGGAUGAAUCGCCAACCUGGAACUGAGACACGGGCCAGACUCCUACGGGAGGCAGCAGUGGGGAAUAUUGGACAAUGGGCGCAAGCCUGAUCCAGCCAUACCGCGUGGGUGAAGAAGGCCUUCGGGUUGUAAAGCCCUUUUGUUGGGAAAGAAAAGCAGCAGGUUAAUACCCCGCUGUUCUGACGGUACCCAAAGAAUAAGCACCGGCUAACUUCGUG
rnacentral:rRNA from 1 species